rnacentral:rRNA from 1 species
AUUGAACGCUGGCGGCAGGCCUAACACAUGCAAGUCGAACGAGUGGCGGACGGGUGAGUAAUGUCUGGGAAACUGCCUGAUGGAGGGGGAUAACUACUGGAAACGGUAGCUAAUACCGCAUACCAUCAGAUGUGCCCAGAUGGGAAUAGCUAGUAGGUGGGGUAACGGCUCACCUAGGCGACGAUCACUAGCUGGUAUGAGAGGAUGACCAGCCACACUGGAACUGAGACACGGUCCAGACUCCUACGGGAGGGAGCAGUGGGGAAGUUUGGACAAUGGGCGCAAGCCUGAUGCAGCCAUGCCGCGUGUAUGAAGAAGGCCUUCGGGUUGUAAAGUACUUUCGGCGGGGAGGCGUUACCCGCAGAAGAAGCACCGGCUAACUCCGUGCCAGCAGCCGCGGUAAUAC